CACGCCAAGUUAAGUUGGUGAACAGUAAAUGCAAAGUACUGUCACUGACUUAGUAAGUCCAUACGUGCCAGAAACAGGAGAUAAGCCCUCCCCCAAAUUUAGGACCUCACAACAAAAGCGAAGUUUCUAAGUUAUAACAGUGUAGAGAAUUUUGGGGAUUCUCUUCACCUGGGUAUUUGAAGUCUUUAUGGAAAACAGAGAUACUGCACAGACCCUCCGCCAUUCACCAAGAGGAAGAUCGCAGUGAAGAUCUCUCGAGUUUAGGAGCAAAGAUGCUUCCUCUUCAGAGAAUUUUUCUUUUGAUAAUCGGCACCUGGCUUGCCCAACAUGCACUGGGCACUAUCUAAUUCAUCAAGACAUCAGAUGUGGUACAUGAAGAUUCAAUCCAUCACCAAGCAGAAGUGGUCCACAAUAGGCAUCAGGAACAAGUAAGUCAUGAAAGCACAAGGAAGUUCCAUGAGCAGGUGGCUCAGGUUUUCAUGACACAGACUCUUGAUGCACUACUGCCUCCAUUAAGUCACACUUUUGGCCUCACAGGGAUUCUUUAUGAUCAGUGGGCAGAGGAAGGAAAAAAUGCGCCUGGUGUAUAGACUGUUCUUCAUGAUGGGCUGGCCUUAGCCAGAGGUAGACUGGUGCAGUAUGACAGCAUUUAGAGUGUUCCCGAAAGACAAUGAAAGGAAAUCCUCCCAAUGGGCAGAACUUCAAGAACUGCAUCCAGUUUUCCAUCUUAUCUGGCUGAAAACACAGCUUGGGGUCCAGAGCUGUAGUCAUUCAUGCAUGGAAGUGGCUAGUGGCCAGGCCGUGUAAUCAGGUGCUUCGUAAGAAAUAUUAAAUAAGAAGAUUGGUAACAAGGAGUUACAGGGAAGAGACGUGGAUAUACCUCUUAAAUCUGGGAACACGAAGGUAUCUCUCUUAUGCUCGAUAGCUCUAUAAAACACAUCUACCACAAAGGUGGUUCUCGGUACGCGGGUGGACAAAAUGACCUAUUCGGCAUCUCAGCGUCUCUUCCCAGCCACCCUGGCGUGCGAUCAAUAAACUUAUGUAUAGAGUGACUGUGUAGACAGGAAUGGAGACCAUUUAUGGACUGAAUAAGACAGAAUGCCUCUUAUUAAGGGUGACCUGGCUGCUGCCACUGCGGGAUGUCCAGAGACCCCAAAAACCACCAUUUCCUAGACAGACCGGCCAGUCAUCUGGAGACAGACUGAAGUUGGUUAUACUGGAUACAUUUCAUCAUGAAAGGGAAAAUGAUCCGCCCUUACUGGCUAUACUCUACGUCUCUGGAGAACGCGACCUAGGUUUCGUCUCUCUUUGUACCCGCAGCCUCUGACAUCGUGCUUGGCUCAUGGUAGGUCAGCGCUGGACAAAUCUGUCCUAAGAACUGAGGGCCAGGUGCCUUGCUGGCUGGGUGGAGAAUGAUCCUUCCCUCGGGGAGCUCUCAGGCGAGAGGGGAGAGACAUGAGAAAAGAGGCUGAAGGGUGUGAGUUUGAGGUGGCAAGGGAGCUCACAGGAGGGUGCCUUUCACAAUCGGAGAGCCUUCCAUUAAACUGGGCUCGACACGCCCUUGGACUUUGGCAAUGGUGCCUUGCCAGGGCAAGCACUGAAGAAAUGUUUGCACGGGUUUGGACCACGUCUGCCCCAUUCACUGCUGUCUCCCCAACCUCUAGCAGAGCUGACACAUUGUGGCGAGCAGUAAAUAUCUGCACGGUGAACGCACGCGUGAACUAACAGCCAAGGCCUUCCUGUGUUUUUCAAACGCCUUUCCCCUCACUUUCUGACUCGUCCUUGUCCAAAGGUGUGAGCUAAUCCUUACCUCAGUGGAGGUGGUGCUGAAGAUCAAAGGCAGUAAUAAAUACGAAAGCACUUAGUAUAGUA